GCCUUGGCUCUUGGUGUUCGCCCAGUUUUGUUGCGGUUGUUGCCGACACUCCCACCACGAGCAACUUCCACACUCAUGCGUUAAAUACUUUUGCAAAGAACUCGAAAACCGGGCCCAGGGAUACGCACUGUAAGUAUAUGUAGGUGGGAGAGGACGGACACUUGCAUGUAGCUGCCUGUGGAGGCCAGAAGAGGACAUCAGAUCCCCUAGAGCUGGAGUUACAGGAAGCUAUAAGCUACUCAGCUUUGGAAAUACCCCUCAAAUCUGGAAAUUCGUGAGCCCACUGGACACUGCCAAUUCGCUGAUCCUACCGUCUUCUCCACAUCGCGUGAUCUCUGCAGCGCCUGUGGCCACUCCCCCGUCUGUGCCUCCUGGUGCCUAGUGCUCUUUUAUUCUCUCCACCACACAGCCAAGCCCCAGCUGUAGCGAAGCCCAGCUCAGCCUCCUUUGGUCAAGUGAACCUGGCUGACUGGGUUUGCUUCAAAGUUUUGAUUGCUAACCUCAAAUGGGUACUUAGCAGUGCGGCCUGGCAUCCCCUCCGCACUGCCGUACGGCCUAUGCCUCCUGACUCUCAUUCAGAACCCUUCUCUCUUCUAC